GGCGGCAUAGCCAAGUGGUAAGGCAGAGGUCUGCAAAACCUCCACCUCCGGUUCAAAUCCGGAUGCCGCCUCCA
rnacentral:tRNA from 1 species